rnacentral:rRNA from 1 species
GCCAAUCAAUAGCCCAACCAACCACCAACACAAUUAUUUUCACAAAUAAUCUAAACCAUUCAACCCAUCCUAGUAUAGGCGAUAGAACAGAUACAACGGCGCAAUAACGCAAGUACCGUAAGGGAAAAAUGAAAGACAAAUUACAAGCACAACAAAGCAAAGAUUCAACCUUCUACCUUUUGCAUAAUGAUUCAGCCAGUCAAAUCGGACAAAAAGAUUUAUGCCCGCCUUCCCGAAAUCAAGUGAGCUACUAUAAAACAGUUAAUUUGAACCAACUCGUCUAUGUAGCAAAAUAGUGAGAAGAUUUUAUAGUAGAGGUGAAAAGCCUACCGAACUUGAUGAUAGCUGGUUGUCCAAAAAAUGAAUUUAAGUUCAACUUUAAACUUGACCAAAGUACAAUUAAACACAAUUUAAGUUUAAAAGAUAAUCAAAAGGGGGACAACUCUUUGGAUUAUGUAAACAAACUUCCUCAAAGGAUAAUGAAAUCACACAAACAUUGUAGGCUUAGAAGCAGCCACCAAUUAAGAAAGCGUUAAAGCUCAAACCUAAACCAACCAUUAAUACCAACAAUUUCAUCAAAUUCCUUGAUACAAAUAUUGGACGAUUCUAUAAACCUAUAGAAGACAUAAUGCUGAAAUAAGUAACAAGAAACAUUUCUCCUGGCACAAGCCUAAAUUAGCAACGGAAACACCACUAACAAUUAACAACACCAUACUAACAAGCCACCAACUAGCAUAACUAUACCAACCAUUGUUAACCCGACACAGGAGUGCCUAAAGGAAAGAUUAAAAAGAAUAAAAGGAACUCGGCAAAUUCGAACCCCGCCUGUUUACCAAAAACAUCACCUCUAGCAUUACAAAUAUUAGAGGCAACGCCUGCCCAGUGAGUUAUAACUUUAACGGCCGCGGUAUCCUGACCGUGCAAAGGUAGCAUAAUCACUUGUCUCCUAAUUAGAGACUGGUAUGAAUGGCACGACGAGGGCUCAACUGUCUCUUAUCCUCAAUCAGUGAAAUUGACCUUCCCGUGCAGAGGCGGGAAUAAUAAUACAAGACGAGAAGACCCUGUGGAGCUUAAGAUUCAUAGUCUAAUUUAACCAACAUAAAACCACAUCAUGGCAACAAAAACUAGAACUACUAGACUAUAACCUUUGGUUGGGGUGACCUCGGAGUACAAAACAACCUCCGAAUGAUUAUAAUCCAGAUCUACUAAUCUAAAUGUACCAUUACCAGUAAUUGACCCAUUUAUUGAUCAACGAAACAAGUUACCCCAGGGAUAACAGCGCAAUCCUACUCAAGAGCCCAUAUCGACACUAGGGUUUACGACCUCGAUGUUGGAUCAGGACAUCCAAAUGGUGCAGCCGCUAUUAAUGGUUCGUUUGUUCAACGAUUAAAGUCCUACGUGAUCUGAGUUCAGACCGGAGAAAUCCAGGUCGGUUUCUAUCUGUAUAUUAAUUUCUCCCAGUACGAAAGGACAAGAGAAAUGAGGCCUACACUACAUGGCAAGCCUCAGAUGCAAGAUAUGAACUUAUCUUAAUAUCCUAAUUCAAUAGCUUAAACCUCCAGAAAAGAGCA